rnacentral:rRNA from 1 species
UACGUAGGGGGCAAGCGUUAUCCGGAUUUACUGGGUGUAAAGGGAGCGUAGACGGAAUUGCAAGUCUGAUGUGAAAGCCCGGGGCUCAACCCCGGGACUGCAUUUGGAACUGUGCUGCUAGAGUGUCGGAGAGGCAGGCGGAAUUCCUAGUGUAGCGGUGAAAUGCGUAGAUAUUAGGAGGAACACCAGUGGCGAAGGCGGCUUUCUGGACUGUAACUGACACUGAGGUACGAAAGUGUGGGGAGCAAACAGG